rnacentral:rRNA from 1 species
AGAGUUUGAUCCUGGCUCAGGACGAACGCUGGCGGCACGCUUAACACAUGCAAGUCGAACGAGAGAAGAGGAGCUUGCUUUUCUGAUCUAGUGGCGGACGGGUGAGUAACACGUGAGCAAUCUGCCUUUCAGAGGGGGAUACCGAUUGGAAACGAUCGUUAAUACCGCAUAACAUAAUUGAACCGCAUGAUUUGAUUAUCAAAGAUUUAUCGCUGAAAGAUGAGCUCGCGUCUGAUUAGCUAGUUGGUAAGGUAACGGCUUACCAAGGCGACGAUCAGUAGCCGGACUGAGAGGUUGAUCGGCCACAUUGGGACUGAGACACGGCCCAGACUCCUACGGGAGGCAGCAGUGGGGAAUAUUGCACAAUGGAGGAAACUCUGAUGCAGCGAUGCCGCGUGAGGGAAGAAGGUUUUAGGAUUGUAAACCUCUGUCUUCAGGGACGAAAAAAGACGGUACCUGAGGAGGAAGCUCCGGCUAACUACGUGCCAGCAGCCGCGGUAAUACGUAGGGAGCGAGCGUUGUCCGGAAUUACUGGGUGUAAAGGGAGCGUAGGCGGGAUCGCAAGUCAGAUGUGAAAACUAUGGGCUUAACCCAUAAACUGCAUUUGAAACUGUGGUUCUUGAGUGAAGUAGAGGUAAGCGGAAUUCCUAGUGUAGCGGUGAAAUGCGUAGAUAUUAGGAGGAACAUCAGUGGCGAAGGCGGCUUACUGGGCUUUAACUGACGCUGAGGCUCGAAAGCGUGGGGAGCAAACAGGAUUAGAUACCCUGGUAGUCCACGCCGUAAACGAUGAUUACUAGGUGUGGGGGGACUGACCCCUUCCGUGCCGCAGCAAACGCAAUAAGUAAUCCACCUGGGGAGUACGACCGCAAGGUUGAAACUCAAAGGAAUUGACGGGGGCCCGCACAAGCAGUGGAGUAUGUGGAUUAAUUCGAAGCAACGCGAAGAACCUUACCAGGUCUUGACAUCGUAUGCAUAGCUCAGAGAUGAGUGAAAUCUCUUCGGAGACAUAUAGACAGGUGGUGCAUGGUUGUCGUCAGCUCGUGUCGUGAGAUGUUGGGUUAAGUCCCGCAACGAGCGCAACCCUUACUGUUAGUUGCUACGCAAGAGCACUCUAGCAGGACUGCCGUUGACAAAACGGAGGAAGGUGGGGAUGACGUCAAAUCAUCAUGCCCCUUAUGACCUGGGCCUCACACGUACUACAAUGGCUGUCAACAGAGGGAAGCAAAGCCGCGAGGUGGAGCGAACCCCUAAAAGCAGUCUUAGUUCGGAUUGUAGGCUGCAACCCGCCUACAUGAAGUCGGAAUUGCUAGUAAUCGCAGAUCGGCAUGCUGCGGUGAAUACGUUCCCGGGCCUUGUACACACCGCCCGUCACGCCAUGGGAGUCGGUAACACCCGAAGCCUGUAGUCUAACCGCAAGGAGGACGCAGUCGAAGGUGGGAUUGAUGACUGGGGUGAAGUCGUAACAAGGUA